UUACGGUCAAAUCACGCUGAAACACCGGUUCUCGCUCGAUCACCGAAGUUAAGCAUCGUAGAGCCAGGUCAGUACUUAGAUGGGGACCGCUUGGGAACACCUGGUACUGUAAG
rnacentral:rRNA from 1 species